AUACUUACCUGGUAAGGGAUAUACCAUGAUCAUGAAGGUAGUUUUCACAGAGCGAGGCUGAUCCAUUGCAAUCCAGUUACGUUGACCCCUGUGAUUUCCCCAAAUGUGGUAAACUCAACUGCAUAAUUUGUGGUAGUGGGGGACUAUGUUUGAGCUCUCCCCUG